AAGUAUGUAACCAGUGCUUUUCUCUGUGUGCGAGUUAGGAGGAGAUAUCCCCCCCCGCACCCGGCGCCGUAAUGAGCGUACCUGCUUUGUAACCUUACGUGGGUUCCAGAGUUUGAUUCCACACGUCACUCCCUUCACUAUUAAGAGGACAAAGAACUUCUGGCACAGAAGGAUGCCCACCUGCAAGGCUCAAAUUGCACGCUGCUUCCUCCCUCUCUGCUCAGUAAAACUCUGUGUUGGGCUCAUUUGGAAGGAAGGUUUGGUGUUCUGACUUCCUGGACAGUUGUUACCUAAAGCCUGGAGUGCCUGUGUCAACUGUGGCGGUGCAACUGCCACACCUUCUCUCCCCCUUCUCUCAGGCCUCUCGGUGCACCACUUCUCCUGAGACAAAAGGCGGAGGACCGGUACGUGGAGGUACUCCUCCUCUUCCCUUGCCCCUGCUUGCCUCUGGGUAGCAAGGGGCAAUGAAUUGGAACAUUAGGGGAUGCCCUAGUUGUAUCUGACUCCUGCUUUGCGCCCCACUGCCCAGGAACAAUCCUGGGGGCAAUCGUCGUCUGACAGCCUGGGACGCGUGAACACGAAUCACGGCUCAGGUGGGGUAGCGUGGAAUCCGUGAGUCCAGCAAGUUCUGGGGUUUGCACAGCUGGUAGAAAGAACCAGAAGAUUUUGCCAUGCGAGGGGGCUGGUAUGGAAAAGUAGCCGUCAGAUCUCCAUCGUCUCAGACCCUAUAACUAGAGAUUCAAAGCGAGUGUUAAUCAAUAUCUGAAGGGAAGUGGGAGGAAAAUGGAUGAGGCCAGGCUCUUCUCGGUGGUGCGUAGCGGAGGACAAUGAGCAGUGGCCUAGAACUUGAGCACAGGAAGUUCCAUGCAAACAUGUGGAAGACCUUCUUUACGGUAAGGGUGGGGGAGCCCUGGGACGGGUUGCCCAGAGAGGUGGUGGAGGUUAUGACCAGCAUCUCCUCUGGGUUGGGAGGUACUGCCAAAUCCUCGAGGCCCUCUACCAAUGAUAGUGUACCAAGGAUAGUCUACUGUGCUGUGAUCUUCAGGGACGUUUUCAACACAAGCCAUCCUAUUGUUCUGUGAUCUUCAAGGACACUUCCAGCGUACAAAAAUCCAGUGGUUCUGUGAUCUUCAGGGAGCCAUGCAACACAAACCAUUCCAGCGUUGUGUGAUUUUAGAAGCUGGACGUGAGCCAGCAGUGUGUGCUGGCAGCCUGGAAGGCCAAGUGUGUUCUGGGCUGCGUUAAGAAAGAGGUGGCCAGCAGGGAGAGGGAGGUGGUUGUCCCCCUCUACUCAGCUCUUGUGAGGCCCCAUCUGGAGUACUGCACCCAGGCGUGGGGCCCUGUAUGAGAACUGUUGAACUGCAACUCCACCUGUGUGACCGGAAGGGGUGGAGCCAGGCUCCACCUCUCCUAAACUCCAUUUAAGGGCUGACUGCCACGGAGGAAGGAUUGCUCUCUGAAGAUCACUCCUCUUGGAGCCCUUUUGGCGAGCCGAGAUGAACUUGGUGCUCCCUUUCCGGAUGAUCGUUUGGAUCCGGAUUUUGUGCCUGUGCCUCUGGGACAACCCAGAGGCCCUGCUGGUGAAUCAGCAGAACAGAAUCCUGCCUCUGAGCCUGAAGGGGAUGCUGGAGAUGUGACUGGAGGAGGUGAUCCAGGUUCCGCUCUGAGCUCUGGGACUGAAACUCCGGCAGAUCGCAUGGGAGUGCCCCCAGGGAGGGCUUUGCCCGGUCAUGUGUUUCCUCCUGCGCUGGAGCCCAGCUGGAAUCCCAGCGGUCCGGAAAAAGGAAAGGAUGAAUCCAAAAGAGGAAAAUACUCCCAGGGCUCAUCCCGUCUCCUCAAGGAACUGGUGAAGGAAAUGGAGAAGGCAGCGCGUGGAACUGACCAACAAAGUGAGCAGGAUGCACUGCAGGAAGAAGGCAGCCAUCCCACACUGCCAGUCUCGGGCAGAGGAACGCAGGCAGCGCCAACAACUGUCAUGCCAGGGAUGAAUGCCGGGACGAGCACAAAGGCUGCUGUUGGCAGAUCUGCGCGAAGGCGCCACAUCGCAGCGAUGGUACUGUUCUCAGCUGUGCUGCUGUCUGCGCUGGUGCUGGCCUGUGGUGCUGUGAUAUGGAUGUGCCAAAAAUACGUAGUGUGCAAGAGAGAAGAGAGAGCAGCAGAGCAGGCUCAUCCUGAUACCAACUAGGAGAGAGUUCCAACUGGAGACGAGGGCAGAACGGAGCUGGGAGAGGCAGCCGAAGAGACUCUUGCCCCAUCAAAGAAGAAUCUCAGCCAUCGUCCCAGUGCAUUCCAUUCUGCCAUCCAAGAGGCCAAAGGUCUUCAAAGUCAUCUGGAAGACUUGGAGCUUGAACUCAAAGCCGUGAAAGAGGUCCACGGGAACAGUCCUGAGUGCUGCUUUCUGUCAGGGGACGGCCCUGAAAGUGAGAGCGGAGAACCAGCAGCAGAGCUUUUGUCCUUCACCCUGCAUUCUCUGGGACAAGCAUCAGCAACAUUUCAAAGAAUCUUAGCUCGGCAUAGCUACAAUCCUGUUGAGGGUCCUAAUGAGGAGCCAGAAAGCGAGCUUCCUCUGACCGCUGGACAACACCUUAACGUCUUUGGAGCUGUGGAUGAGAAUGGCUGGUUUCAGGGAGAGCUGACAGAUGGCACAAGAGGACUGGUCCCAUCCAAUUUGGUUGCGGAGGUUUCAGAUGACGAACUGGAUACAACGAUGCCUCCGGAGCUCUGUGCUCUCCUGCUGGAUACUUGAUGAAUAAGUGGAUGCAGAGAUUCCAUCAUGCAGCAACAUCCUGUCAAAAUUCCUGCGUUACUCCAUCUGCAAGACUACCCCCUGCUCCACUUGAUGUUCAGGUGGAGUGUGUGCAGGACGUGGAUGAGCUCCUUUGGGAACACUCUGAGGUGACUGACAGUGUAACUGCAUAGUCUUGUGGUAUAUUAAACAAACAAACAAAAAAACACCACCCACAAUAAAACAAACAA
ensembl:lncRNA